rnacentral:lncRNA from 1 species
GUCUCAGUUAACUCCUAUACAGCACACUGUGGCCGGUCGUGGUCAAUGGCGAUUGCACCCCCUCCAGGAUUACUUCCUAUCCUGCAGUGGCUGGUUAAAAACUACAGUUCCCAGAAUGCCUUGCAGCUUAUAGUCCUCGUGUGAUUUUGAUUCAUCCAUUUGGAAGUCAGAACCGGAACUCCUCACUGAGCUAAGUAGGGUGAUACGGAGUUUGAAGUGUGCUAUUCGGUUUUCUGAUAUAUACCCAGAUGGUCUAACAGUUUGACUCUGGAGUCAGCGGUGGUAAUGGCAGAUUUCAAAUCUCUUCGUUUCCCGUGUUCUUGGACUACUCCUGUGGUGAUGUGAUCCUGCGUUCAGAAGUUUGGACAGUGGCCUCCUGUUUCCCCCGCUUUCUGACUGGCAGAUAUCCAACACUGCUGCCGAAGGGCCGCCAUCUCUAUUAACCCCUAGGAAAGGCAAUUCUCUCAAGACACUGGAGUCUACCUGACGAGGUUCCCUUCCCGAGACACUGCUGGAGACUUGGCUUUAUGUUCAGAAGCUAGCAGAAUUCCAAUGAAGCUGAUACCUUGCCAUUUCCACCUUUGAGGAUGCCUUGCAGGUCUCUGGAUUGGCUAGAACACCUGCAGGUGUCUCCUAUGGCUGGCGGCUGGAAUCUGGCUUUCAUCAGUGCUAAAGACCCAACCUCAGGAAGCCCUGCAAAAAGAAUCAGGUGUUGGAGUCUAGCAGUCAUGAACCCUAUUUUGUUCAGAUGGCAAGGAGCUGGUAUUACCAAGGAUGGCAUCUGUAGCAGCUGAUGUGUCCAAGUUAGCCUCUGAAGGAAAAGGGUUGACUUUCCUCCACCAUUGGGAUGUGCAGGGAUUUGGGAAAGAUGAGCUAACCUCUCUUGAGUUUCACCAUCUGUAAAAUGAGGAUGAACGAAUUUGCCUUGAGCCAGUGAGAUGGCUCAGUGAGUAAAAGCUCUUGCAGCUAAGCCUGAAGACCCGAGUUCCAUCCCUAAGAACUGACUCAUGCAAAUUGUCCUCUGACCUCCAAAUGUGCAUCAUGAUGCUCACGUGCACUCAAGCAUGCACUCAUACACACUAAAUAAGUAAAUAAACAAAAAAAACGUAGUAACAAAACUAAUCUGUGCUGGAGACUUCAUUACCCUUCAUUGUUCCGGAAUCUCAAUGUUCUCUGAACAUUAGAUGGUACAUAGCUGGCUUCUUGUUUUAAUAGUAAAACAGCAUGGUUAUUAAGCCGACUUUCUUAUCUAGGUGUUCACCCAAGUGAAAUUUGCCUCAUCAGAGUACAAGGACAUUUUCAGAGGUGGGAUCCGAAGCACCGAAGCCAGAUAUUGCCCAAGGUCACACACAUGGUGGGUAGAGGGCCCGGCAGAGCCUCUCUAUUCCACUCAUACAGAAGAUGCACAAUACCCAGUUGCUGGGGAAGGAAGGACCCUGGGUUAACGGAUGUGGAAUAAUUGGAGUAGAAGUGUCCAGAGGGUACCAGGCAUGGCUCUCCAGGCCGGUCUUUUGAAGGUGUUUUCUAUGGUUGAUAUGAUAAGAAGCAAGUACCAUCCCAAAGUCAAUGUGAAAUAGAAGACAAAGAGACAGUGUCCAACAUUUGAGAAGUUAUAUAGUGCCCAACAAGUACACAUAGCCCAUUGGAGAUGGAUUUACAAAUGAGCUGAAGAGGUUUCAGCCAUACUACCUGUGAUGUACUGUUUCUCCAUCUUUGGAUGCAGAAUAGCCGUUCAGGCCAUUAAGAAAGUAACAUGCAUGCAUGCACACACAUGAACUUCAACUGACAGCACAAUACAGCAGGAGGGAAGCAGGGACCCAUGAAGGACCUAUUUCAUGAACAUAAAUGGUCACCUACCAUUUGUCCCAACUUUAUGAAGUUGUCACAAGCCCCUCUCUUCCCCACUUUACUCAAGUUUACAUGAGAGGAGUCACGGCACAGACGAUCUGAAAUGCUACCUGCCUCCUCUGCUUCAGUUUACCAAAGAAAGACCUUGGACAGGCUUGAACCAGACACCUCGCUAGUCUGUGAGCCCCACUGUGACAGCCACGUGAUUCCUAAGCACAUCACCACUCCUCCUUAGGACAACAAUGAUUACUUUCCAUAAAUAAAUUAUUAUGUUUCGGCAUUAAGAUGGAAGGCUUCCAAUAAGUAACUCUACUGGGUUCCCAAAACUCUGAGCUUUUACUGUGGUUAUACUCAUUUCACAGAGAUAACAUUGAAGCUUACGACUUUAAUAACCUAUUCAGAUCUACCGAGGCAGUUGAUAAUUAGCAGAAGGGAGAUGCAAACCUAAGCCUUCCUGAACUGUGACCCCUUGUCUGGACCAAGGAUGUCAAUGACAUGUGUGUUUCUGAGGAUACUAGGCUGUUAAGAAAGAAGGAGAUGGAUAAAAGAUGUUUAAGAGAAAGGGGCUUGGCCAGUUUUCUUACACUUCAUACAAUGAACCAUGCUGAGUUCACAGUCUGCUUCAAGUCUCUUUUCCCUGAGAUGAGGGCAGAUCAAACCACAAUAUCCCCCAUUCAUUCAUUCAUGACUUGAGUUAGACAAAUCUGGGUCUGUUCAAUGAAAAUACAAGAUUAAAUAAGACCUGGUUUCUACUCUGAGUAAGCUCACCAUCUGAUGAGGGGGAAAAGACUUAUAAAUUAAUUAUUAGACUCCAUAUAAUAAAUGCUCCCUGGUGGAUGGAAAUACUGUGGAGUCAAGGGGAAGAACAACUGGGGGGGAAAAAAGAGCCUGAAGCAACAGAAAGAGCUUGGAACCAACUUUGAAAGACAGCAAAACAACUGGAUGUGAUUCUUAUCUCUGUGACCUUGAACCAGUUGAAAUGCUUUGAGCUGUACCGUUUUUUUUGUGCAGGAAAACAGCGUCAAUUGAACAGCGUGACCAACCCUGAAAGAACUGCACAGGGGAUUAAAUGGGUUAACAUAAGCGAAAACAUUGCCAUUCAUCAGCAAAAUGGCCAAGCUGGAAAAUACAGAUGAACCGAGUGUGUAGAGGCAGAAAGGCAAUGCAAAGAGUUCUGUGAUAUGGGAUUAUGUAGCAGUGUAAUAAUAUAGAUGUGGCUGCUACAGAAAAUGCGCUGUCUUGGGACUUUGAAAUCACCAGCCAUGCUUCAAGGGAACAAAUCUCUCCAUAUGGUUUUGAGGAGAACACACAAAAAAAAUAUUUUCCAGCCACUUUCAGAUAUAAUUCCUCCUUAGGUAGGAGGGAAAAGAGGAUAACUAUCCAUCAGAUCUCAGAGAAAUCGAUCAACUCGCACGUGUCUGCCGAUCCGGCCAUGUGCCCAUCACUAUGUUUGUUUCUGUGCAGAACGUCACACGAGGUAGCUGGGGAAGAAAGAACCAUGCACACUGAAUAAUUAACAGCCUUCGUGGAGGAGGUGGCAAGACCUUAAAGGAAGGCUAAGAUUCAAAGGAGAGGGUGAGGAAGAUGAAUGAAGGGGAAGGGAGGAGCAGGUGAAAGGCGUGAUAAAGACAAUGAAGGAAAGGUGAAGAGUGAGAAGAGAGAACAGGAACCGCACAUAGAAACAGUAUUAGAGAGAGAAGGACCCAAGUGGGCCUGAGCCUGAAAGGCUACAUGGAGGCUAAACAUCUGGAUGAAGCCAAAUUAUGAUCUAGAUUGAGGAAUCUGGGUCUGACGCUUGUGUGACUUGGUCAGUGACAGGGCAUUGCCACAGAAGAAGGAAUGCAAUCUGACUGACAAUUGGGGGAAACAACAAACAGGAAAUAGUUCUGAUCAGACCGUGGCAUCUAAAAAAGCUAAAGAAGGUUACUGAAGGAAUACAUUUUGUGAGUUAAAAGUGGAAGAUCCCUGGAGACACUAAGUCUCAAGCAAGAAAGUCACUCAGGAGGCUGGUGUGUACCAUCCAGGAAGGAAUGUGGUGGCUGGUGGCUGUCAGGGAUGGAUGGAGAGAUCAGCCAGAGAGAGGCACACCUUCAUCAAGUCUCAGCGGCUGAGGGACACUGGCUUGCUUGCCCCCAUGGUAGGCAAGAUCAGAACCGACCUUCAGGUUUUGGAGUGACAGUUGAGAGGUGCGAUUUGGUGAAGCAAGACAGCUGAAGAGAAAUAGUGCCCACACAAAUGUUAGGAAUCGCCUCAGAGGACCUGGGACGGCUGAGAAUCUAAGAGUUACUUCUGCCUCAAGGGUCUCCCGCGUUUUUGUAAUGCCAAGGACAGAAAAGGACAAGAGAGUGCUACCGUCCCAGCCCCAGGCAUUGUGCCUGCGGUGGAGGUCUCUGCCCAAGGCGGACGCCAGGGGUCAGUGCAGGCCCAGCUUCCCCAGCUGGAGCAUCGCCGAGGUCUCCUGCCUUCAGCGAGUGUUCAUUACGGGAAAGAAUUUAAGAGAACUCUAAAUGGCAGAUUCGUUUAUGAUAGCAGCAUUUACAGGCAGUUGUAAUUAUAGUGUAUGGAAAACAAUUAUUCCCUCCUAAAAUUGCUCUUUUAAUUUUCUCUUAUUUGUCCCACAGUGAAUGUUAAAUAAGCCUCAUUGCCUUGCAGACAGCCUCCGAUAUGUGCACAGAGAGAAGCUCCUAAGCACACACCACACUGUAACCUGCACACGCGCACACUCAUUCCUAGUAUACAUGAUAGGCAAGCUCUGAAAAGCACACGGGUCCAGUCAAUAGCUUCCCACUACAGCCCCAUCCCAAGCACAGUUCAGGGAUGCCAUGUGGGAAACUCCUCCCCAUCCAUCAGAACAGGCCUCAGGAGGCACUACUCAGUGAACCCUUCCUCUCCCUCCUGAGUCCCAGACAAGUCUUUGCAGCUCCAAACUGUAUUGCACCGUGUUUCUGGGCAGACAUCUUCACCUCACAAACUUUCAUCCACUCCUUUGUCUACACUCCUCUCUUUACAUAUAAGAUUCUUAAGCCACAAAGUUCUUGCUUUUUUUUUUUUUUUUUUUAUCACCAGUCUCCUAACACUUGGCCAGUGGGAAAGCCUGUUACUGGUCCCUGUCUCUGCCGAUGGCUCAAGAUAGUGUGCUCCCGAAGGAAGCCACAAAUUGAAUAUCUUCCCAAAAUGUUAGUUUGCAAGGAGCUGUGUUUUCACUUCCAACCUCUACCAAGGAGAGUAGAAAACCAGUCAAGGUCCAGGGCUGAAUGCAUCUUUGUGGAGACUUCAGUCACAUUGUGGAACCCUGACCAAAAUGGAUCCUAUUUCAAAGUGUCUUGGACCUUAGUGAGGUUUCAAAGACUUGGGGCUCAACAGAGGUCUCCAAUCGUCCUUGAGGAGAAAACAAAUGUCUUUAAACUCAGACUGUGGGACAGAGAGGUGGGAAUGGGAAACAAAACACAUCUUCACAGUCAAGGACCAAUGACCCUUAUUAAAUGGAUUAGGCGGUGACAUUACAUGGGUUCUCGGGCCAUUUUAGAGUGGUUAAUGUUGGCGGAUGGAGGCCAAGCUCUAUUAAGGAAGGAUGUGGAAGUCUGUCCCCCUGAUUUAAAAGUUUGCAUUGGAGGAAGGAUGUUUGCAAUUUUCGUGAAGUCUUACUGUUAAUUGGUUGUCUUGGCCUUGAAAUGGUCUUGAUUGUUAAGUAGUUCUCUCUUUUCACACAAGGAGAGAGAAAGCAGGAGGAAGGAAUUUCAUGUGAGGGACAGAAAAAAAUGAAAAUGAUACUGAUGCCAAGUGAACCGUCUGUUGGAUGUUUGAUGUUGGCAGGCUGGACUCUUCUCUAUUCAUCCAUGUUCUCUCUGUCUUGGCUCAAAUGCUUAAGGGACUUCUGAAUCUCUUUGUUUCCUGUUUCUACCACAAAUGUAUAAAAUAGUCCCAAGAAUGCCUGCCAUUUCAUAUCCAAGUCUUUUUUUUUUUUUUCUUGUUUGUGCUGCUAUAACAAAGUACCAUAGACUCAGUAGCUCACAUACAAUAAAAAGUUUAUUUCUCACAGUUCUGGAAGCUGAGAUAUCUGACAUCAACUACCACAUUAGUUGUCUGGCUCCUUAGAGACAGUGCUUUUCACUUGUUCUCACAGGCAGGGAGAUCAGCAAACUUCCUGGCACCUCGUUUAGAAGGGUACUGUCAACUGUCAUUGACCUGUGCAAAUCUGUCUGCAAGUGCUGAGAUUUGAGGACCUUAAGGAAUGGGGUGGACUACAGUUUAAUGCUUUACUUCAGUUUCAGUGUACUUCUAAACAUGACUGUAACAAAGAAAGCAACAAUCCAGGGAAGGUUGCUUGAGUUUGGAAAAAGAUGAAAGUAAACGUCAGUAAGCACAUACUAAAUAUUAACAGAGCAGCCCUUCCCGGAACUUUCUCAGGACAGACCAAUUUGAACACAAUGCCUGGCAUAGACUAUAGAAGGCCAUGUCCAGAUACAGGAUACACUGAGGGCAGCACUCAGGACAUCCUUUUCGCAAGACUGAGCUCUAUAUGUAAGUUCCUACAGGCACUAAUCCCAUUUAUGAGGGCCUUGCCCUCAUGACACAAUCUCUCCAAAUAUUGUCUGAUUGGUGAUUAGGAUUCAACACAGGAAUGUGUGGGCAUGGAGCUGAGGAAAGAAUAGUCAUUCCCAUCAUUGUACCCAGUGCUCAUAAGGUUGCAGAAUACAGGCCUGAGUUUUCAUCCUCCAUCUGUCUUAAAAGUCCCAUGAAGAAAACCAAAGGUGUUAGAAGAUAGACACAAUGUCUUGUUAAGCAUAGAUUCUAGGACUUCCAUAAGCAGUGUUUCUUAGAAAAACAUGUGUUUGAAAGUUGAAAAAGAACUAAAAUGUAUAGAAACAUAGACAAUGUAGUCUUGUAUAUUCUUAAAUUAUUUGUACACAAAAAUAUAUAAAGUAUGUAAAUGUGUUACAUGUAUUUACAUUUUACUAAACUAUUUG